CUGUCUUGCUAGCCAACUGCAUUGCCUUCUUGGCUCACAUGCUUCGAGGAAGCAGGGUGCUAUAUUGGAGAGGUUCACAUGCAAGAAAUUGAGGGCAGCCUCCAGCCAGCAACCGGCAAGAACUGAGGCUGUCAGUCCAGUAGCCCCUGAGCCAUUGACCCUGCCAACAGCCACCUGAGCUUCCAAGUGAAUUCUUCCUCAGUGGAGCAUUCGGAUGAGACCUCAACCUUGCCUCACACCUUGACCGCAGGGUUCAAGGGACCCUGAAGCAGAAGACCCAGGUGGAGGAAACUGGGGCCUGAAGAAGUCAAAUGGCUUUUCCAGGUUCACACAGCUUGCCUGUCUGGGAUCUGAAUCCAUGUCUGCCUACCUCCCAACCCUACAUUCUGACCAGUAGGCCACAUGGCUCUUCGAAAAGAGGGCCAGAAACCUCCGAAGUUUCUUCCUACAUGUUUGGAAUAGCAUCAGAUGGAAACAAAUUCCACAAGAGGAUUCGUAUGCUCAUAUAAACAGGUAGGAAUGGAUGUUUGUGCACCCAGAGGAUCAGAAGAUAAGUCAAAGCAUGGAAAUAGUUGUCAUUUGCUGUUUAUGGAUUUCUGGGGUCCCAGGAGGCUAACUGAAUAAAGAGAACCUGGGCAAUGACAGACGACUGCUGCACGUGAGGGAAGACCGCUGUCCUGGUAGAGCUGCGGGUUUUGUGACCCCUGGGCAGGGGGUUGUUUCUGACCUGGGCUGUGAGGGGACGCCUCUUGGCAGGAGCUAGUUGUUUCCCAUAAGGCGAUGAGGUCUUCUCUCUCUCGUGCAUCCUUACUGGCUGAAGAGGAAGACGACAGUCUCUUGGGAGAGGACGAGGCUGACUCUGUACCUUGCUCAGUCCCACCCAGCCCCUGCCUAAAUCUGGGGGCCUCUGCCACUUCCCUUGUCGUCGCAGAAUGGGUGCCUCCUCUUUCCAAGGUGGACUGACCUGAUGUGUUUCACCAGGUCCCUAGAACACAGCCCCCAAAGCUCUGGGGAUGAGUGUUAGAGCACUAACACCUGUUGACCAUCUGCCGUGCAUGCACCGCCGGCCGGACCCUGGCUCAGUGUCCUCCCUGCAGCCCCCAGAGGAGGAUAGGUUAUGUCCCUGUCACGGAGGCUGGAGCUGUGGCAAUGUCAGGACCAGACAGGAACCACAACAGCCAGAGGGUGCGAGUCAGAAUUGGAAGCCAGGCCUCCCAACCCCUGGACCAGAGUAACCCUACAGUUCUGGAGAGGGACAGACUGGCUCACCUUGAGCUCACAGUUGGCAGCUGUGUGACCUUGGGCACAUCGCUUCACCCCUCUGAACCUCAGUUGUCAGUCUUGGAACAAGGACAAGAGAAUCAGGUCUAUCACUUCAUAAGGUGGUUGUAAGGAUGAAAGAAGAUAAUGUGGUCAAAAUGCCAAGUGUAAGACUGGAGUGCUUAAUAAAUGCUAGCUGCUAA